CCCUUAGAUGUUCUGGGCCGCACGCGCGCUACACUGAUGCAUUCAACGAGUCUAAAACCUGGUCUGAUAGGGCUGGGUAAUCUUUUGAAUGUGCAUCGUGAUUGGGAUAGAUGAUUGCAAUUCUUCAUCUUCAACGAGGAAUGCCUAGUAAACGAAAGUCAUCAGCUUGCAUUGAUUACGUCCCUGCCCUUUGUACACACCGCCCGUCGCUCCUACCGAUUGAAUGUUCCGAUGAAUACCAUGGACUGAGAGUAUGAAUGGGUUCGCCUAUUUCUGCUUCUCGGGAAGUGGAGUAAAUCUUAACAUUUAGAGGAAGGAGAAGUCGUAACA
rnacentral:rRNA from 1 species